CAACAGCCAGAGGGUCAAGUCACUGAAUACUCCACAAGGUCAGGUGGCAGCCUGCAGGGGGCACCAGGGUGAGAAAAGGACUGUGAUACCACACUCAGCUGCUCAGAGGCACUCCAGAGGAAAACAGUGCCAUAAAACUGAAAAUGAUGUUCUGGGCUUUGCUGAAUUUUGCCACAGAAUGGUAACUGAUAAAGAUAUUGACAUGCUUUAGAAAGGAGGUCAGUAUUGUUACCCACAUUAUACAGAAGGGGAAACUGAGGCAUAGGGCAGUGAUGUGACUUGCCCCAAGUCAUGCAGCAGACCAACGAUACAGAAGGGAAUAGAACCUAUGACUCCUUCAUCCAUAUCCAGUGAUCUACCUACGAGACUGCACGGCUUCCCCACAGUGGCCUUGAUGGUUGCUUGUAACAAUAGUGCAGUGGUUCUUAACCUGGGAUGCAUGCACGCCUUGGGAGUGCGAGAUGCCCUUUCUGGGGGUGCGAGACAUGUGAGAUUUUUUUAGACGGUAAAUCAUCGAAAACAUAAAUUAAGCACAGGAACUCACUGCUCCAAGUCAGGGAGAGGAAAAUGGGGAUAAAGACCCUGGCUUUCUUUCUCAUCUGACUGAAAAUGGAAGCAACUCAAAAGAUUCUGUGAUAUCAAUGGAGAGAUUUAGGUUUCUUCCCAUAUGGAGGACACAAACUACAUGGGAAUUAGAGCAAUGGGACCAUCUCAAGACAUGGUGCAGCAGGCACACAUUCUACUACCCAAAGCUCUAAGAAGAUCUGUGAUUCCAAGAAACACAAUGCCUCCUGGAGCACUUCCUGGAGCAGUGAAAUGCUACACUGCCCCUAACAUCGGCCCUUUCCAUUUCCCGUCACCUUCUCUUCUUCCACUGGAUCUGCUUCAGUUGCUCUGAAUGGUCUUUGCAUAAAGCAGAAGCUUUUGUUUGAACAGCACUGUUGUACCACUUUGUCUUUUACCUACUUAAACAGUUCCUUUGUCUUUAAAAAAAAACCCAAAGCAAAUGUUUAAAGUAGAGUAUGUACACUCCCCAGAGAGAAAUGACACAGGAAAGAACUACAGAAACUGAGGCACAAAGGCGAAAUAACAAUAUAUGAAUACAUGCAAGCGCUUUUUCCUCUCGAAGUAGAUUUCACAAUUGUUACAUGUGCCUUUCAGCAUUAGCAAUACACUAAUUCUAUUAUCAUAAUUUAUUAACCAGAUCUUUUGUUCUAUGUAGUAAUACACUGUGUUUCCAUGCUGUGUAUUUUUUAUCCUGUGACCUAAUUUGCUUAAAAGGAAACUCU